rnacentral:rRNA from 1 species
UACGUAGGGUGCGAGCGUUGUCCGGAAUUACUGGGCGUAAAGAGCUCGUAGGUGGUUUGUCGCGUUGUUCGUGAAAACUCACAGCUCAACUGUGGGCGUGCGGGCGAUACGGGCAGACUAGAGUACUGCAGGGGAGACUGGAAUUCCUGGUGUAGCGGUGGAAUGCGCAGAUAUCAGGAGGAACACCAAUGGCGAAGGCAGAUCUCUGGGCCGUAACUGACGCUGAGGAGCGAAAGCAUGGGGAGCGAACAGG